rnacentral:rRNA from 1 species
UACAGAGGGGGCAAGCGUUGUUCGGAAUUACUGGGCUUAAAGCGCGUGUAGGCGGGGAGGCACGUCUGUCGCUUAAAUCCCACGGCUCAACCGUGGAACUGGCGUAGAUACGACCCCCCUGGAGGGGUGUAGGGGGACCUGGAACUUCCGGUGGAGCGGUGAAAUGCGUUGAGAUCGGAAGGAACGCCCGUGGCGAAAGCGAGGUCCUGGACACUUUCUGACGCUGAGACGCGAAAGCCAGGGGAGCAAACGGG